GACGAACCGUGCGAACGUUAUUCGGAAUCACUGGGCUUAAAGGGCGCGUAGGCGGGCUCGCAAGUCAGGGGUGAAAUCCCACGGCCCAACCGUGGAAGUGCCUCUGAUACUGCGGGCCUCGAGGGAGGUAGGGGCGUGCGGAACUCAGGGUGGAGCGGUGAAAUGCGUAGAUAUCCUGAGGAACACCGGUGGCGAAAGCGGCGCGCUGGACCUCUUCUGACGCUGAGGCGCGAAAGCCAGGGGAGCAAACGGG
rnacentral:rRNA from 1 species